rnacentral:rRNA from 1 species
UGAACGCUGGCGGCGUGCUUAACACAUGCAAGUCGCACGAGAACGCUUCAGCUUGCUGAAGUUAGUAAAGUGGCGCACGGGUGAGUAACGCGUGGGUAAUCUACCCUCAAAUUGGGGAUAACCCGCCGAAAGGCGGGCUAAUACCGAAUGAUAUCUUGAAAACUUAUGUUUUCAGGAUCAAAGGUGGCCUCUAUAUGUAAGCUAUUGUUUGGGGAUGAGCCCGCGUACCAUUAGCUUGUUGGUAGGGUAAUGGCCUACCAAGGCUACGAUGGUUAGCUGGUCUGAGAGGAUGAUCAGCCACACUGGAACUGACACACGGUCCAGACUCCUACGGGAGGCAGCAGUGAGGAAUUUUGCGCAAUGGGGGAAACCCUGACGCAGCAACGCCGCGUGAGUGAUGAAGGCUUUCGGGUCGUAAAGCUCUGUCAAGUGGGAAGAACUCAUAUGGUGUUAAUAUCGCCAUAUGCUGACGGUACCACUGAAGGAAGCACCGGCUAACUCC